rnacentral:lncRNA from 1 species
CAGCCGGGCGCCCGCGUCGCUGUCGCCGCGGGAAGACAGACGCCCCCCAAAGCCCCUCGCCUGGCUCGGACCCACGGAGCCGGCAGACCAGCACUCCGAUGGGAGCUUGCCUGCCUGUCUACCCAUUGGCCUGGACCCCAGAGCCUGCCCAGCUGAGUGCUUGCAGAGGGCCCCGGGUUCGGGGCAACUCUCAGGCCACCGAAGAGAUCACCCUGGAAUCACUGGCCAAGACAGGCCUUUCCUGUUGAACCGGGCCUGUCUACACAGCCUGCUCAGGCGCUGUCCACGCCCCGAGGCCUGGGCUCAGGCCGAAGUUGCUCCACAGCACCCCCAGCUGACAGCCAGCGACUGGCAGAGCCCCCAGGCCCGGGGGCCCUCUCUCUUCCAGAGAUCGCCAGUGUGACAGCCCAGGCGGCAGAGCCGAGGGUCCCGGUCCCGGCUUCUCGCACCCUCAUGUCAGCCCCGGCCCCGCCCGGCGGCCCGCGGAGGACAAGGUCAGGAUGCGUGUGAAGCCCCAG